GUGGAUUAGAUACCCUGGUAGUCCACGCCCUAAACGAUGCCAACUAGGUGUUGGGGAAGGAGACUUCCUUAGUACCGUAGCUAACGCGUGAAGUUGGCCGCCUGGGGAGUACGGUCGCAAGAUUAAAACUCAAAGGAAUUGACGGGGACCCGCACAAGCGGUGGAUGAUGUGGAUUAAUUCGAUGCAACGCGAAAAACCUUACCUACCCUUGACAUGCCAGGAACUUGCCAGAGAUGGCUUGGUGCUCGAAAGAGAGCCUGGACACAGGUGCUGCACGGUCGUCGCCAACU
rnacentral:rRNA from 1 species